GACAGAGGGUGCAAACGUUGCUCGGAAUCACUGGGCGUAAAGGGCGUGUAGGCGGUCGGGAAAGUCAGAUGUGAAAUCCCCAGGCUCAACCUGGGAACUGCAUUUGAAACUCCCCUUCUUGAGUACCGGAGAGGAAAGUGGAAUUCCUGGUGUAGAGGUGAAAUUCGUAGAUAUUAGGAAGAACACCGGUGGCGAAGGCGGCCCACUGGAUCGGUACUGACGCUGAGGUGCGAAAGCGUGGGGAGCAAACAGG
rnacentral:rRNA from 1 species